rnacentral:rRNA from 1 species
UACGUAGGGGGCGAGCGUUGUCCGGAUUUAUUGGGCGUAAAAGGCUUGUAGGUGGCCAUGCGAAGUCGGAUGUGAAAUCUCCCGGCUCCACUGGGAGGGGUCAUUCGAUACUGGCAGGCUCGAGGCCGGUAGGGGGUAGCGGAAUUCCCGGUGUAGUGGUGGAAUGCGUAGAUAUCGGGGAGGAACACCAGUGGCGAAGGCGGCUAC